UUAAGUGACUAAGCGUACACGGUGGAUGCCUUGGCAGUCAGAGGCGAUGAAAGACGUAGUAACUUGCGAUAAGCCCAGAUUAGGUAGUAACAACCAUUUGAGUCUGGGAUUUCUGAAUGGGGAAACCCACGUGCAUAAGCACGUAUCCUUACCUGAAUACAUAGGGUAAGGAGGCGAACCGGGGGAACUGAAACAUCUAAGUACCCCGAGGAAAAGAAAUCAACCGAGAUUCCGAAAGUAGCGGCGAGCGAAAUUGGACUAGCCCUUAAGCUUUACACGCGUUAGACGAACGGUCUGGAAAGUCCGACGAUACAGGGUGAUAGUCCCGUAGUUGACGACGUGUGUUCAGUGAAAUCGAGUAGGGCGGGACACGUGAUAUCCUGUCUGAAUAUGGGGGGACCAUCCUCCAAGGCUAAAUACUACUGACUGACCGAUAGUGAACCAGUACCGUGAGGGAAAGGCGAAAAGAACCCCUGUGAGGGGAGUGAAAUAGAACCUGAAACCGUGUACGUACAAGCAGUAGGAGCAGGCUUUGUCCUGUGACUGCGUACCUUUUGUAUAAUGGGUCAGCGACUUAUAUUCAGUGGCAAGGUUAACCAUCUAGGGGAGCCGUAGGGAAACCGAGUCUUAACUGGGCGUUCAGUCUCUGGAUAUAGACCCGAAACCAGGUGAUCUAGCCAUGGGCAGGUUGAAGGUUGAGUAACAUCAACUGGAGGACCGAACCGACUAAUGUUGAAAAAUUAGCGGAUGACUUGUGGCUAGGGGUGAAAGGCCAAUCAAACCUGGAGAUAGCUGGUUCUCCCCGAAAGCUAUUUAGGUAGCGCCUCGGACGAAUACUACUGGGGGUAGAGCACUGUUAAGGCUAGGGGGUCAUCCCGACUUACCAACCCUUUGCAAACUCCGAAUACCAGUAAGUACUAUCCGGGAGACACACGGCGGGUGCUAACGUCCGUCGUGGAGAGGGAAACAACCCAGACCGCCAGCUAAGGUCCCAAAUUACUACUAAGUGGGAAACGAUGUGGGAAGGCUCAGACAGCCAGGAUGUUGGCUUAGAAGCAGCCAUCAUUUAAAGAAAGCGUAAUAGCUCACUGGUCGAGUCGGCCUGCGCGGAAGAUGUAACGGGGCUAAGUAGUAAACCGAAGCUGCGGCAAUGUGCUUUUGCACAUUGGGUAGGGGAGCGUUCUGUAAGCGGUUGAAGGUGUGUGGUAACGCAUGCUGGACGUAUCAGAAGUGCGAAUGCUGACAUGAGUAACGAUAAAGGGGGUGAAAAACCUCCUCGCCGGAAGACCAAGGGUUCCUGUCCAACGUUAAUCGGGGCAGGGUAAGUCGACCCCUAAGGCGAGGCCGAAAGGCGUAGUCGAUGGGAAACGGGUUAAUAUUCCCGUACUUCUUACAAUUGCGAUGGGGGGACGGAGAAGGCUAGGUGGGCCUGGCGACGGUUGUCCAGGUUCAAGUGCGUAGGCUUAAGAGUUAGGUAAAUCCGGCUCUUUUUAAGGCUGAGACACGACGUCGAGCAUCUACGGAUGUGAAGUCAUUGAUGCCAUGCUUCCAGGAAAAGCCUCUAAGCUUCAGAUUGUAAGGAAUCGUACCCCAAACCGACACAGGUGGUCGGGUAGAGAAUACCAAGGCGCUUGAGAGAACUCGGGUGAAGGAACUAGGCAAAAUGGUACCGUAACUUCGGGAGAAGGUACGCUCUCGACGGUGAAGUCCCUCGCGGAUGGAGCUAUUGAGAGUCGCAGAUACCAGGUGGCUGCAACUGUUUAUUAAAAACACAGCACUGUGCAAAAUCGUAAGAUGACGUAUACGGUGUGACGCCUGCCCGGUGCCGGAAGGUUAAUUGAUGGGGUUAGACUUCGGUCGAAGCUCUUGAUCGAAGCCCGGUAAACGGCGGCCGUAACUAUAACGGUCCUAAGGUAGCGAAAUUCCUUGUCGGGUAAGUUCCGACCUGCACGAAUGGCGUAAUGAUGGCCACGCUGUCUCCACCCGAGACUCAGUGAAAUUGAAAUCGCUGUGAAGAUGCAGUGUACCCGCGGCUAGACGGAAAGACCCCGUGAACCUUUACUACAGCUUGGCACUGAACAUUGACCCUACAUGUGUAGGAUAGGUGGGAGGCUUUGAAGCACGUACGCCAGUAUGUGUGGAGCCGUCCUUGAAAUACCACCCUUGUAGUGUUGAUGUUCUAACGUCGACCCCUUAUCGGGGUUGCGGACAGUGCCUGGUGGGUAGUUUGACUGGGGCGGUCUCCUCCCAAAGAGUAACGGAGGAGCACGAAGGUGGGCUAAUCACGGUUGGACAUCGUGAGGUUAGUGCAAUGGCAUAAGCCCGCUUGACUGCGAGAAUGACAAUUCGAGCAGGUGCGAAAGCAGGUCAUAGUGAUCCGGUGGUUCUGAAUGGAAGGGCCAUCGCUCAACGGAUAAAAGGUACUCCGGGGAUAACAGGCUGAUACCGCCCAAGAGUUCAUAUCGACGGCGGUGUUUGGCACCUCGAUGUCGGCUCAUCACAUCCUGGGGCUGAAGUCGGUCCCAAGGGUAUGGCUGUUCGCCAUUUAAAGUGGUACGCGAGCUGGGUUUAGAACGUCGUGAGACAGUUCGGUCCCUAUCUGCCGUGGGCGUUGGAAGAUUGAAGGGGGCUGCUCCUAGUACGAGAGGACCGGAGUGGACGAACCUCUGGUGUUCGGGUUGUGUCGCCAGACGCAUUGCCCGGUAGCUAAGUUCGGAAUCGAUAACCGCUGAAAGCAUCUAAGCGGGAAGCGAGCCCUGAGAUGAGUCUUCCCUGAUACUUUAAGUAUCCUAAAGGGUUGUCGGAGACUACGACGUUGAUAGGUCAGGUGUGUAAGUGCUGUGAGGCAUUGAGCUAACUGAUACUAAUUGCCCGUGAGGCUUAACCAU
rnacentral:rRNA from 1 species